UCCUAAGCUCUUCCGAGCCACAUAAAUUCUCCAAACCCAGAAACGAGAUAAGAGCCGGGAACACAUUCGAACCAACAACACCAAAACGUGAAAUUUCCACUACUUUUUACCUGCAUUCAAAGAAAGCCUCACAUCAAAAUUGCCAAGGUACGGUGGCAGUGUGUAGUUCAAUAACAGUAGCUAAGCCAAAUUCUGAGUGGACGUCUCUGGCUCCUGCCUUGGUAAUAUACUCUUGAAAUUUCUUCUCAACACAAAUUAUUAAUAUUUUUUAUUCAACUGCUAUUUUCACAGUACCGACUCAAGCGUUGUUCAGAGUGUGGGAUGAUUUUUCCAUGAGUCUAAUAUUACUUUACUCAAACACACUAUCAGAGCUUCAGAUCUUUUUGGUGCAACAAAACGUUUAAUCAGUUUCGACUUGUUGAUGAGUGUUUUUGACAUAAUUCUUGGUUUUGAAGUGUUCUAUUCUAGGAUUAUGAGGCUGGCUUAUCAUUCAUUUUAGAUCAUUAAAUUAACCCGAGUACUUUUAUAGCUUCGUUGUUUCAAUAAGCUUGAACAUCAUUUGCUAAUUAGGUUCA